rnacentral:rRNA from 1 species
UGGGGAAUCUUGCGCAAUGGGCGAAAGCCUGACGCAGCGACGCCGCGUGCGAGAAGAAGGCCUUCGGGUUGUAAACCGCUUUCAGGAGGGACGAAGCCACUCGGGUGAACAGCCCAGAGGGUGACGGUACCUCCAGAAGAAGCCCCGGCUAACUACGUGCCAGCAGCCGCGGUAAUACGUAGGGGGCUAGCGUUGUCCGGAUUUAUUGGGCGUAAAGAGCGUGUAGGCGGUCAGGUAGGUCGGUUGUGAAAACUGGAGGCUCAACCUUCAGAGGUCGACCGAAACCCCCUGGCUAGAGUCCGGGAGAGGAGAGUGGAAUUCCUGGUGUAGCGGUGAAAUGCGCAGAUAUCAGGAAGAACACCCGUGGCGAAAGCGGCUCUCUGGAACGGUACUGACGCUGAGACGCGAAAGCGUGGGGAGCGAACAGGAUUAGAUACCCUGGUAGUCCACGCCGUAAACGAUGGGCGCUAGGUGUGGGAGGUGUCGACUCCUUCCGUGCCGAAGCUAACGCAUUAACG